AUCCAGCCGUCGAGUCCUAGAUAGGACGAAACGCGCGUCCUGGAU
rfam:Schistosoma rodhaini strain Burundi genome assembly, scaffold: SROB_scaffold0011907